rnacentral:rRNA from 1 species
CUCAGAUUGAACGCUGGUGGCAGGCCUAACACAUGCAAGUCGAAUGGUAACAGGAAACAGCUUGCUGUUUCGCUGACGAGUGGCGGACGGGUGAGUAAUGUCUGGGAAACUGCCUGAUGGAGGGGGAUAACUACUGGAAACGGUAGCUAAUACCGCAUAACGUCGCAAGACCAAAGAGGGGGACCUUCGGGCCUCUUGCCAUCAGAUGUGCCCAGAUGGGAUUAGCUAGUAGGUGGGGUAACGGCUCACCUAGGCGACGAUCCCUAGCUGGUCUGAGAGGAUGACCAGCCACACUGGAACUGAGCCAGGAUCAAACUCU